rnacentral:rRNA from 1 species
GAACGGGAUUUGUAUGGUGCUUGCACCAUGUAAUGAGAGUAGCGCACUGGUGAGUAACACGUGGGAACAUACCUUGAAGUGGGGGACAACAGUUGGAAACGACUGCUAAUACCGCAUAAUCCCUGAGGGGGAAAGAUUUAUCGCUUUAAGAUUGGCCCGCGGAAGAUUAGGUAGUUGGUGGGGUAAAGGCCUACCAAGCCGACGAUCUAUAGCUGGUCUGAGAGGACGAACAGCCACAUUGGAACUGAGACACGGUCCAGACUCCUACGGGAGGCAGCAGUGAGGAAUAUUGGGCAAUGGAGGAAACUCUGACCCAGCCAUGCCGCGUGAGUGAAGAAGGUUUUCGAAUUGUAAAGCUCUUUCGGAUGGGACGAUGAUGACGGUACCAUCUAAAGAAGCCCCGGCAAACUUCGUGCCAGCAGCCGCGGUAAUACGAAGGGGGCAAGCGUUGUUCGGAAUUACUGGGCGUAAAGGGUGUGUAGGCGGAUUUGUAAGAUAGUGG